rnacentral:rRNA from 1 species
AGCAGUCGCCGCGGUAAUACGGAGGGAGCUAGCGUUGUUCGGAAUUACUGGGCGUAAAGCGCACGUAGGCGGCUUUGUAAGUCAGAGGUGAAAGCCUGGAGCUCAACUCCAGAACUGCCUUUGAGACUGCAUCGCUUGAAUCCAGGAGAGGUGAGUGGAAUUCCGAGUGUAGAGGUGAAAUUCGUAGAUAUUCGGAAGAACACCAGUGGCGAAGGCGGCUCACUGGACUGGUAUUGACGCUGAGGUGCGAAAGCGUGGGGAGCAAACAGGAUUAGAUACCCCUGUAGUCCCUGUCUCUUAUAC